rnacentral:lncRNA from 1 species
CUACAUCAUAAAAAUUGAAGUUCUCUGAUUUUUUUUAUUCAAUAGAUUUUAUUAGAGAUAAGAAAAACAGACCAUAUAAGCUAAGAGAUUAGUGCUUGUCAGGUGAUAUACAGUAAAAUUUUGGUGGAGGGCUCAACUGACUAAUAAUACCCAGAGGUUAAAGCCUGCUCCUGCAAUGUUACUACAGUCAGUUCACAUGCCAUGACAUCUGUGGUAAAAAAAUUAUUCCGAUGAAGUCCCUAUGUAAGAGUAAAACAUAAUUCAGAUACACUCACUGAUGAAUGGAGUUUAUACAAGUCUUUAAAGUGGAACUCGGUUCCAGAGCAGAGGAAUCCAAUGGCAGCUCAGAGAACUGUUGAUUCAUCCAUGCUAACAUAUUUAUGGAACAUCCAUCAUGUAUUUAAAAGGUGGACAUCUUCCACUGUACUUUGAGUAGGAGAAUAUUGAACAAUGAAGAACGGCAGCCAGUAGAAGUUAAUGACACAGCUAUACAACAACACUUACAAUUUUAGUAACCUACACAUCAAUCACCUUUCAAAGAUGACUUUUCCUCUGACUAAAGAGCCCUGCAGGUAAGUAGGUAAGACAUAUUGCCAAAAGUACAACUUGAAUAAGAAUCAACUUGC